GUAAGGAAUAUUGGUCAAUGGACGAAAGUCUGAACCAGCCAUGCCGCGUGAAGGAUGAAGGCCCUCUGGGUUGUAAACUUCUUUUAUCUGGGACGAAAAAAGGGUAUUCUUACUCACUUGACGGUACCAGAGGAAUAAGCACCGGCUAACUCCGUGCCAGCAGCCGCGGUAAUACGGAGGGUGCAAGCGUUAUCCGGAUUCACUGGGUGUAAAGGGUGCGUAGGUGGGUAUUUAAGUCAGUGGUGAAAUCUCCGAGCUUAACUCGGAAACUGCCAUUGAUACUAUUUACCUUGAAUGCCCUGGAGGUAAGCGGAAUAUGUCAUGUAGCGGUGAAAUGCUUAGAUAUGACAUAGAACACCAAUUGCGAAGGCAGCUUACUACGGGGUGAUUGACACUGAGGCACGAAAGCGUGGGGAGCAAACAGGAUUAGAUACCCUUGUAGUCC
rnacentral:rRNA from 1 species